rnacentral:rRNA from 1 species
GACAGAGGGUGCAAACGUUGCUCGGAAUUACUGGGCGUAAAGCGCGUGUAGGCGGGCCGAUAAGUCAGAUGUGAAAUCCCUGAGCUCAACUCAGGAACUGCAUUUGAAACUGCCGGUCUAGAGUGGUGGAGAGGGAAGCGGAAUUCCUGGUGUAGAGGUGAAAUUCGUAGAUAUCAGGAGGAACACCGGUGGCGAAGGCGACUUCCUGGACACCAACUGACGCUGAGGCGCGAAAGCUAGGGGAGCAAACGGG